GGAAAUAGCUCAGUUGGUAGAGCAUAACCUUGCCAAGGUUAGGGUCGCGAGUUCGAGUCUCGUUUUCC
rnacentral:tRNA from 1 species